UUUUAACAUGUUAUUUUUCUUUGAUAUGAUUUAAUAUGAAUUUUGGAUAGCUUGUUAGUGAAUUUUAGGAUGAUUCGAAGGUUUAAUGAUUGUUGAUAGAUUUAUAGUUUUGAUUUGGAAUUUUAGUGGAAUUUUGGGUAAUCUUGUUGUUUAAUUAUAGCAAAUAGGUUUUCAUUCAUUUUUUGUGAGUUUUUGCAUUUGAUUUUGGUAGGUUUCAUCUUAAGCCAUUAAUUUUAAUUUGUUUUAAUUUAGACCCUAAUAUUUGUAAUAAUAGGGAUUUGACCCCUAAAACUUUUUAAUUGUUUCAAUUAGGUCCUUGCUUGUUUUAAUUCCUUGAACAUAGGUUGUUUGCUUUAAUUUAAAUACUUUAAUUGAUUUAAUUUCAUGUUUUCUUCCAUCUCUUAGGAUUUUUUUUAAUUAAAAUGAUACCUUGACCAUUUUUUUGUUUUGGAGGAUAAAUAAGAGAGUAAUUCCAUUUCCUUAGUUCAUCAAUUCAAGGGAGGUAUAUUCUAUCCUUUAUUUUUAUUUUAUUUGAUCC
rnacentral:lncRNA from 1 species